UCCUUACUGAGCGAGAUACCCACGGAGUCUCUCUAAUCCCUCCCAAGGCAAUGGCGUCGAACAGCAGAGAAGCGAGGAGGCGGAAGAUCUUAGAAAGAGGAUCUGACCGUUUGGCCUUUAUCACUGGUCACAUCAACGGCGUUCCUCCUCCUCCUCCUCCACCUUCUUCCGAUCCCUCUUCCCUGUCUCAAUCUCCUCUCCGCACUAGUGAUUCCUCACCGGAGACGAUUCCGCCUCGCGAUCAGAUACCUACUGAUGGAGAAACAGCUUUCACUAGUCAUCAGGAAAACAUCUCUGAGGCUUCGAUGCUUGCUAAUAUGGACCCUAUCAUCCAUCAAAGCAGAGCAGACUCUCUCAAGUAUACUGAAACAUUGGCUGAAGCCUCCUCCGCUUCAAGGGUACAACCGUCUCCUGCAACCCCAUCAGUCGUAGAUUUGGGCGCUUCUCUUGCAUUUACUCCUCUGGUUAGUUUCGUGAACACCAUCACUCCAAAACACGUUGGAGCCGCCGUUGAUGCUUCCGAAUACGCACGGAUGUUCUCAUCUCUUGUGAUUGCGCUUCUUGUCGUGCUAUCUCACCUCGGGUUCUCUUCCCUAGGCAGCAGCAUAGUAAGCUUCAGACCUGUCUUCUUGCUUCUCUUGACCGAUGCUACAAUUGUGCUGGGACGUGUUCUGCUGAGCCAUCAUGGCGAUCCUCCCUCAGCUUCAAGGCGAGAAACCUCAGUAAUGAAUGGACAAGGCAUAGCGGACCAAGUGGGCAACGCGCUGGAGAUGGUCAUGAUGAUGAAGAAGAUAAUGAACGCUGUUUCUAUGGAUUUUAGCUUGUACGCUGUGUUUCUCAUAUGUGGCCUCUUGUUCACACAAAACAUCUUUGCUUAGGUCCUCUUUGUAGGUUUCUGAUUCCUUUUUUUUUGGACAUCAUGUGAUUUCUUAUUCAUUUCUCAUACUAUUAUAGACUACGCUUAUGAUUCAUUAUGUUCUGUUUAUGGUUUUCAUCUUUUGAGUAGAAGAAGAUAUAAUGAAUGUUUUCAUCUUUAAGUA